UAGCAUAACCAGGAAGACCCUCCCCCUCCCACAAACUCUCUUCUGAGGAAACGAAACUGAUCUGAGUCUCUCUGUCGUCUGUCUGUGUGAGAGUGAACAACAACAGUCUAAAUGGCUCAGCAGGGAGUUCUGCUGGACCAGGACCAGUUCUGUUGUUCUGUCUGUCUGGAACUACUGAAGGAGCCGGUGGCUAUUCCCUGUGGACACAGUUACUGUAGAAGCUGUAUUGAGGGCUACUGGGAUCAGGAUGAUCAGGGCAUCUACAGCUGUCCUCAGUGCAAUCAGACCUUCACUCCAAGGCCUACUCUGGGGRAAAAUAACAUGUUGGCUGAGGUGGUGGAGACACUGAAGAAGACAGGACUCCAGGCUGCUCCCCCUGCUCUGUGCAAUGCUGGACCUGGAGAUGUGGCGUGUGAUUUCUGCACUGGGACCAGAARGCAGAAAGCCCUCAUGUCCUGUCUGGUGUGUCUGGUGUCUUACUGUGAGACUCACCUCCAGCCUCACUAUGAUCUUCCUGUACUAAAGAAACACAAGCUGGUCAAAGCCACCGCACAACUACAGGAGAAGAUCUGCUCUCAUCAUGACCAACUGCUGGAGGUUUACUGUCGUACCGAUCAACAAUGCAUCUGUUAUCAAUGUAUGAUGGAUGAACAUAAAGGCCAUGAUACAGUGUCAGCUGCAGCAGAGAGGACUGAGAAACAGAGUCAGCUGGGGAUGAGUCAGCAGAAUGUCCAGGAGAGAGAGAAGGUGCUGAAGGAGAUCCAACAGGCUGUGGAGUUUCUUAAGCGUUCUGCAAAUGCAGCAGUGGAUGACAGUGAGAGUAUCUUUACUGAGCUGAUCCGCUCCAUGGAGGAAAGGCGCUCUGAGGUGAAGGAGCUGAUCAGAGCCCAGGAGAAGGCUGAAGUGAGUCGAGCUGAAGGACUACUGGAGCAACUGGAACAGGAGAUAGUUGAGCUGAGGAGGAGAGAUGCUGAGCUGGAGCAACUCUCACACACAGAGGAUCACAUCCAUUUCCUUCAGAGUUAUCAAUCUCUCUCAAGUCCCAGUGUAUCUUCAGACUUGCCCAGCAUCAUUGUCUGUCCUCUUCAGUACUUUGGAGAUAUGAAUAAGUCAGUGUCUGAGCUGAGAGUGAAAGUAGAAGACCUCCUUAAAGGAGAAUGGACCAAGAUCUCCACWACAGCAGGUCAUAACAACCACAGCUCCCAGAUGAAAGCUGCUCUGCAGCAAGACGACCCCAUGGAGGACAAGGACAGGGGUCAGGAGGUCAAACGCCGCCCAAGCAGCGAGUUCCCUGUUGGAAACUUGGUCGAUGUUGACAACACUCUGGUCGCCAAAUCACUGCAUGGAGACAGUGAGAGAGAAAGGGAUGAGGAAAGGGAGAAAAAGAGGGGUAGAGGUAGGGAUAGAGGGUGGGAAAGAGAGAGGGAUCGAGGAAGGGAAAGCGACAGGGAUGGAGCGAGCAAAGGAGAGAGGAAUGGAGGAAGGGAAAGAGAGAGGGAUGGAGGAAGGGAAAGAGAGAUGGAGGGGGCGAGGGAAAGAUCGAGGGAUAGAGGGUGGGAAAGCGAGAGGGAUGGAACGAGAGGAGUGAGGGAUGAGGAGGAGAAGAGGUCGUGCUGCUCUCUCUCUGAGCUGAAGAAAGUCCCUCAGUGUCACGUGGAGCUGGAGCCGCUGUCCUUCAGCAGAACUAACAACGUUCUCAUAGAUGUGAAUGAGUUCCACCAUAAAAGCACAUUAAAACCUCAUUCUGGACAUCAUGUGUGGCACAGUGACUUUGUUAAGAUGCCCUGCUCACCAGAAAGCCUCAUCAAGAAUGGAUGGGUAACCAGCUCUGAGCGAAGUCGGUGGGACGUGGUCUCUAAACAGCUGGAGAGUCUGGCCAAGAAGACCACUGCAUCAGUGGGUGACGUAGAGAAAGCCAUAAAGAAAUACAACCCAAAGUAUGAAGAUCAAUGGUCCUUUGAUGCCCUGCAUACCUUUGUUCAGAAAGCACCUAAAGAAGAGAACUACUACACGUCUGUUUUUCCUAAGAUAGCAGAGCUGGCCUCCAACCUGCCUCACGAUAUCAAGAAGGCUAUCCCUCUACUCCAGAAGGGCCAGACUCAGUCCAUCACGUUGUCCCAGAGUCAGAUAGCUUGUCUGCUGGCCAACGCCUUCUACUGCACCUUCCCCCACCGCAACUCCCCCAACCCCAGAGCAGAGUACCAUAACUACCCCACCAUCAACUUUAACAGUCUGUUUGAAAAGUGGUCUGAGAGGAAGAGAGAGAAGCUGAGAGCCCUCCUUCAUUACUUCCACACUGUCACAGACCCAGCAACCAGGCCCGUGGACUGGUGACCUUUGAGAGGCGCUACAUCAGAGACAUGCCCAACUGGAGGAGUUGUAGGGAGACUGUUCCUAAACUCCACGUCUCCUCAGUAGGCUUCAUAGAGGAACAGGGAGCAGGGAUGUUACAGGUGGACUUUGCCUGUAACAUGAUAGGAGGUGGAGUGUUGGGCUCAGGUCUGGUUCAGGAGGA